rnacentral:rRNA from 1 species
CAAUAGCGUAUAUUAAAGUUGUUGCGGUUAAAAAAGCUCGUAGUUGGAUUUCUGCCGAGGACGACCGGUCCGCCCUCUGGGUGAGUAUCUGGCUUGGCCUGGGCAUCUUCUUGGAGAACGUAGCUGCACUUGACUGUGUGGUGCGGUAUCCAGGACUUUUACUUUGAGGAAAUUAGAGUGUUUCAAGCAGGCAUGCGCCUUGAAUACAUUAGCAUGGAAUAAUAAGAUAGGACCUCGGUUCUAUUUUGUUGGUUUCUAGAGCUGAGGUAAUGAUUAAUAGGGACAGUUGGGGGGUAUUUCGUAUUGCAAUUGUCAGAAGGUGAAAUUGCUUAGGAUUUCUGCAAAGACGAACUACUGCGAAAGCAUUUACCAAGGAUGUUUUCAUUAUCAAGAACGAAAGUUAGGGGAUCGAAGACGAUUAGAU